CCUACGGGAGGCAGCAGUGGGGAAUCUUGCGCAAUGGGCGAAAGCCUGACGCAGCCAUGCCGCGUGAAUGAUGAAGGUCUUAGGAUUGUAAAAUUCUUUCACCGGGGACGAUAAUGACGGUACCCGGAGAAGAAGCCCCGGCUAACUUCGUGCCAGCAGCCGCGGUAAUACGAAGGGGGCUAGCGUUGCUCGGAAUUACUGGGCGUAAAGGGAGCGUAGGCGGAUAGUUUAGUCAGAGGUGAAAGCCCAGGGCUCAACCUUGGAAUUGCCUUUGAUACUGGCUAUCUUGAGUACGGAAGAGGUAUGUGGAACUCCGAGUGUAGAGGUGAAAUUCGUAGAUAUUCGGAAGAACACCAGUGGCGAAGGCGACAUACUGGUCCGUUACUGACGCUGAGGCUCGAAAGCGUGGGGAGCAAACAGGAUUAGAUACCCUGGUAGUCCACGCUGUAAACGAUGAGUGCUAGUUGUCGGCAUGCAUGCAUGUCGGUGACGCAGCUAACGCAUUAAGCACUCCGCCUGGGGAGUACGGUCGCAAGNUUAAAACUCAAAAUGAAUUGACGG
rnacentral:rRNA from 1 species